GACGAACGCUGGCGGCGUGCUUAACACAUGCAAGUCGAACGGAAAGGCCCUGCUUUUGUGGGGUGCUCGAGUGGCGAGCGGGUGAGUAACACGUGAGUAACCUGCCCUUGACUUUGGGAUAACUUCAGGAAACUGGGGCUAAUACCGGAUAGGAGCUCCUGCUGCAUGGUGGGGGUUGGAAAGUUUCGGCGGUUGGGGAUGGACUCGCGGCUUAUCAGCUUGUUGGUGGGGUAGUGGCUUACCAAGGCUUUGACGGGUAGCCGGCCUGAGAGGGUGACCGGCCACAUUGGGACUGAGAUACGGCCCAGACUCCUACGGGAGGCAGCAGUGGGGAAUAUUGCACAAUGGGCGGAAGCCUGAUGCAGCAACGCCGCGUGCGGGAUGACGGCCUUCGGGUUGUAAACCGCUUUCGCCUGUGACGAAGCGUGAGUGACGGUAAUGGGUAAAGAAGCACCGGCUAACUACGUA
rnacentral:rRNA from 1 species